AACGAACGCUGGCGGCAGGCUUAACACAUGCAAGUCGAACGCAUCCUUCGGGGUGAGUGGCAGACGGGUGAGUAACGCGUGGGAACGUGCCCUUCAGUUCGGGAUAACCCAGGGCAACUUGGGCUAAUACCGGAUACGUGCGAGAGCAGAAAGAUUUAUCGCUGAAGGAUCGGCCCGCGUCUGAUUAGCUAGUUGGUGGGGUAAUGGCCCACCAAGGCGACGAUCAGUAGCUGGUCUGAGAGGAUGAUCAGCCACAUUGGGACUGAGACACGGCCCAAACUCCUGCGGGAGGCAGCAGUGGGGAAUAUUGGACAAUGGGCGCAAGCCUGAUCCAGCCAUGCCGCGUGAGUGAUGAAGGCCUUAGGGUUGUAAAGUUCUUUCGUCCGGGACGAUAAUGACGGUACCGGAAGAAGAAGCCCCGGCUAACUUCGUGCCAGCAGCCGCCGUAA
rnacentral:rRNA from 1 species